UCCGAUGCUCUACAUUGCUGAUUGAUCCUGCCGGACCUGACUGCUAUCGUUUUGGUACUAAGCCAUUGCGAGUCGGUGUUCAUACAUGGCGGACUGCUCAGUAACACAUAGUUAACUUAACCUAUGGAUGGGAAUAACCUCGGGAAACUGAGAAUAAUACCCAAUGGGCCACAGUGCCUGGAAUGGCCUGUGGUUGAAAUGAUUUAUCGCCGUAGGAUAGGACUGCGGCCUAUCAGCUUGUUGGUGAGGUAAUGGCCCACCAAGGCUAUAACAGGUACGGGCUCUGAGAGGAGGGGCCCGGAGAUGGGUACUGAGACACGGACCCAGGCCCUAUGGGGCGCAGCAGGCGAGAAACCUUUGCAAUGUGCGAAAGCACGACAAGGUUAAUCCGAGUGUCUCCUGCUAAAGGAGUCUUUUGUCAGUUGUAGAAUCACUGGUGAAUAAGGGGUGGGCAAGUUCUGGUGUCAGCCGCCGCGGUAAAACCAGCACCUCGAGUGGUCAGGAGGUUUAUUGGGCCUAAAGCAUCCGUAGCCGGUUGCAUAAGUUUUCGGUUAAAUCUAUGCGCUUAACGUAUAGGCCGCCGAAAAUACUGUGCCGCUACGGCGUGGGAGAGG
rnacentral:rRNA from 1 species